rnacentral:tRNA from 1 species
UAGGAGUUAGUUAAAUAAUAACAUUAAAAUGUCAAUUUAAAAUAACUAAUAAAUUAGUACUCCUUG